UACGUAGGGUGCAAGCGUUGUCCGGAAUUAUUGGGCGUAAAGAGCUCGUAGGCGGUCUGUCGCGUCGGCUGUGAAAACCCGGAGCUCAACUCCGGGCCUGCAGUCGAUACGGGCAGACUGGAGUUCGGCAGGGGAGACUGGAAUUCCUGGUGUAGCGGCGAAAUGCGCAGAUAUCAGGAGGAACACCGGUGGCGAAGGCGGGUCUCUGGGCCGAUACUGACGCUGAGGAGCGAAAGCGUGGGGAGCGAACAGG
rnacentral:rRNA from 1 species